rnacentral:rRNA from 1 species
CAAGGUUUCCGUAGGUGAACCUGCGGAAGGAUCAUUAUUGUGAGGGCUUCGGCCCAUUGCAUAAUGCAAACCCUUGCCUUUUUAGUAGUAUCUCUGUUUCCUCGGCAGCUUAGUGCUAACAGCUUUGCCUGUCAAAGGACCCCUAAAACAAAACCUUUGUAAUCUCGAUCAUGUUCAGAAAAACUCAAUUUUUACAACUUUCAACAAUGGAUCUCUUGGCUCUGGCAUCGAUGAAGAACGCAGCGAAAUGCGAUAAGUAGUGUGAAUUGCAGAAUUCAGUGAAUCAUCGAAUCUUUGAACGCACAUUGCGCCCUUUGGUAUUCCUUAGGGCAUGCCUGUUCGAGCGUCAUUUAAAACCUCAAGCACGGCUUCGUGGCAGGGACCCUAAGAGGGACCUACCCGUAGCCCAGCUUGGUGAUGGGCGCCUGUCCCGCCGUGGUGCGCGGACUCGCCUCGAAUGCAGUUGGCAGCCCCAAUACCUCCUCAAUCGGAUCCGAAGUAGAAUUCGCAGGCCGUGGGUGGUGGUGGCUCUCCAAUGUAGGCAACCCGUAAAGCGUCUCCUCAAUCGGAUCCGAAGUAAAAUUCGCAGGCCGUGGACGGCGG